rnacentral:snRNA from 1 species
GAGUGCUUUAUAUAAUUGUUCUG